rnacentral:rRNA from 1 species
UACGGGGGGGGCAAGCGUUGUUCGGAAUUACUGGGCGUAAAGGGCUCGUAGGUGGCCAACUAAGUCAGACGUGAAAUCCCUCGGCUUAACCGGGGAACUGCGUCUGAUACUGGAUGGCUUGAGGUUGGGAGAGGGAUGCGGAAUUCCAGGUGUAGCGGUGAAAUGCGUAGAUAUCUGGAGGAACACCGGUGGCGAAGGCGGCAUCCUGGACCAAUUCUGACGCUGAGGAGCGAAAGCGUGGGGAGCGAUCCGG